rnacentral:rRNA from 1 species
CAGCAGCCACGGUAAAACAGAGGGUGCGAGCGUUAAUCGGAUUUACUGGGCGUAAAGCGUGCGUAGGCGGCUUCUUAAGUCGGAUGUGAAAUCCCUGAGCUUAACUUAGGAAUUGCAUUCGAUACUGGGAAGCUAGAGUAUGGGAGAGGAUGGUAGAAUUCCAGGUGUAGCGGUGAAAUGCGUAGAGAUCUGGAGGAAUACCGAUGGCGAAGGCAGCCAUCUGGCCUAAUACUGACGCUGAGGUACGAAAGCAUGGGGAGCAAACAGGAUUAGAUACCCCCGUAGUCCCUGUCUCUUAUAC